UCCAUGUGCACUUCUUUAGAAGAAUCCCUGAAUUUAUUAAUGGAGUUGGAAAUUGUAACAGAUAUCGAACUUCCUUAAAAUCCCACUCUUUUAGAAGAACCAAAAAGGGUCAACGAAGUUUGAGGAUGAAGAUACUGGUGACCGGCGCUUCCGGUUUCCUCGGCGGACGACUUUGCCAUGCCCUACUCCGCCGCGGCCACGCCGUGCGCGCCCUCGUCCGCCGCACCAGCGAUCUCUCCUGCCUUCCUCCGACGACUUCCUCCGCCGCCGCUGGCGAGCCUCUCGAACUCGUCUACGGCGACGUAACCGAUUAUCGUUCCGUCCUUGACGCCUGCUCCGACUGCGAUGUCGUCUUCCACGCCGCUGCUCUUGUUGAGCCCUGGCUCCCUGAUCCUUCCAGAUUCUUCUCGGUCAACGUUGGGGGAUUGAAGAAUGUUUUGGAAGCUGUUAAGGAGACGAAGAGUAUUCAGAAGAUUGUUUACACGUCUUCGUUCUUCGCACUUGGGUCUACUGAUGGAUAUGUUGCUGACGAGAAUCAAGUUCACAGUGAGAAAUUCUUCUGCACGGAGUACGAGAGAUCAAAGGUUGCAGCUGAUAAGAUUGCAUUACAGGCGGCUUCAGAAGGUGUGCCGAUAGUUCUGGUGUAUCCCGGAGUUAUCUAUGGCUCGGGCAAGGUCACUUCAGGCAAUAUUGUUGCUAAGUUGAUAAUAGAGCGCUUUAAUGGGAGAUUACCUGGCUAUAUAGGCUAUGGAAAUGAUAGAUAUUCCUUCUGUCACGUUGAUGAUGUGGCAGAGGGUCACAUCGCUGCAAUGGAAAAAGGGAGGGUGGGUGAGAGAUACCUACUCACGGGGGAGAGUGGGUCGUUUAAGCUUGUGUUUGACAUGGCUGCAUUGAUUACCGGAACCAAAAAGCCACAAUUUCACAUUCCAUUGUGGGUUAUCCUGCCUUAUGCAUGGUUGUCGGUUGUGAUCUCUCGGAUCACUGGGAAGCUUCCGACCAUUAGUCCUCCGACAGUUAACGUGCUGAGACAUCAGUGGGCUUACUCUUGUAACAAGGCUACGACCGAACUGGGGUAUAAACCUAGAAGCCUCAAGGAUGGAUUGGAAGAGAUGCUCCCGUGGUUGAAGAGUUUGGGCGAAAUAAAAUACUAGCCGGUGUUGUAUAGAGCUUCUUUGUGAUGCAAUGUACAUCUUCAUCCACAAGAAUAACCAAAUGACAUGGACUUCCCCGCUCCUCUGGAAGAUGUAGUCGGGUCUUUGGUCCGGUGAAUUUCUAGAUUAUAAAAAAAAUGAACAAGUUAUGAGUAGCUGAUGAUCCAUAUGAAUGUUUCACCGGCUCCCGUGUUUCGAGUCAUGAACUCUCAGCGAUUUGGAAGAAUGCUAUCCCAAUAGAACUCCAUCUGCAGAGGUAAAUCAACGAACUACUUCCGCUUACUGGAGAAUCGGUUUGGUAGAGUUUAUGGUUGAUUUCUAGUUUUUUUUUCCUUCCAUACAUCACAUUCUCUUCUAUUGUGUAAGAAACCAGAAACCACUUAUCCUUAUCCAAGUGAUUGAUGAAAUUCAUCAAACCACAUGAUUUUGAGCA